AAGCCAUGCAUGUCUAAGUAUAAACGAUUUAAUCGUGAAACCGCGAAUGGCUCAUUAUAACAGCUAUAAUUUACUUGAUCUUGACACAAUCCUACUUGGAUAACUGUGGUAAUUCUAGAGCUAAUACAUGCAUUAAAGCUCUGACCUCACGGGAAGAGUGCAUUUAUUAGAACAAAACCAAGCGGCUUCGGCUGUUUCUGGUUGACUCAUAGUAACUGAGCUGAUCGCAUGGUCUUGCACCGGCGACGUGUCUUUCAAGUAUCUGCCGUAUCAACUUUCGAUGGUAGUGUAUCUGACUACCAUGGUGAUCACGCGUAACGGAGAAUAAGGGUUCGGCUCCGGAGAGUUCGCCUGAGAAAUCGCGAACACAUCUAAGGAAGGCAGCAGGCGCGAAAAUUCCCCACUCUCAGCACGAGGAGGUAGUGACGAAAAAUAACGAGACCGUUCUCUUAUGAGGCCGGUCAUCGGAAUGUGGUACAAUUUAAACCCUUUA
rnacentral:rRNA from 1 species